rnacentral:rRNA from 1 species
UACGUAGGGUGCAAGCGUUGUCCGGAAUUACUGGGCGUAAAGAGCUCGUAGGCGGUUUGUCGCGUCGUCUGUGAAAACCAGCAGCUCAACUGUUGGCUUGCAGGCGAUACGGGCAGACUUGAGUAUUUCAGGGGAGACUGGAAUUCCUGGUGUAGCGGUGAAAUGCGCAGAUAUCAGGAGGAACACCGGUGGCGAAGGCGGGUCUCUGGGAAAUAACUGACGCUGGAGGAGCGAAAGCGUGGGUAGCGAACAGG